AUUGAACGCUGGCGGCAUGCCUUACACAUGCAAGUCGAACGGCAGCACGGGUGCUUGCACCUGGUGGCGAGUGGCGAACGGGUGAGUAAUACAUCGGAACGUACCUUAUCGUGGGGGAUAACGCAGCGAAAGCUGUGCUAAUACCGCAUACGCCCUGAGGGGGAAAGCGGGGGAUCGAAAGACCUCGCGCGAUCAGAGCGGCCGAUGCCUGAUUAGCUUGUUGGUGGGGUAAAAGCCCACCAAGGCGACGAUCAGUAGCUGGUCUGAGAGGACGAUCAGCCACACUGGGACUGAGACACGGCCCAGACUCCUACGGGAGGCAGCAGUGGGGAAUUUUGGACAAUGGGGGCAACCCUGAUCCAGCAAUGCCGCGUGAGUGAAGAAGGCCUUCGGGUUGUAAACCGCUUUUGUCAGGGAAGAAACGCUUCGAGCUAAUACCUCGAGGUAAUGACGGUACCUGAAGAAUAAGCACCGGCUAACUACGUGCCAGCCGCCGCGGUAA
rnacentral:rRNA from 1 species